UGAAAGCCAAGAAGAGAUUCAUCACAAGAAAUCAACCCUGAUGGAAACUUGAUCUUCGACUUCUGGCCUAAAGAAAUGCUUUUGAAAAGCAGAUUCUCUUUUACCUCUGUUUCCUCUACACCUUGAACAGUGUCAGACACCUGAUUAAAACUCAAGAUCCAGUAACUGGCAUAGCAGAGUAAAAGAAAAAAAUCAUCUAUG
rnacentral:lncRNA from 13 species